AUUGAACGCUGGCGGAAUGCUUUACACAUGCAAGUCGAACGGCAGCACGGGGCAACCUGGUGGCGAGUGGCGAACGGGUGAGUAAUACAUCGGAACGUGCCCAGUCGUGGGGGAUAACGUAGCGAAAGUUACGCUAAUACCGCAUACGAUCUAUGGAUGAAAGCGGGGGAUCGCAAGACCUCGCGCGAUUGGAGCGGCCGAUGUCAGAUUAGGUAGUUGGUGGGGUAAAGGCCUACCAAGCCGACGAUCUGUAGCUGGUCUGAGAGGACGACCAGCCACACUGGGACUGAGACACGGCCCAGACUCCUACGGGAGGCAGCAGUGGGGAAUUUUGGACAAUGGGCGCAAGCCUGAUCCAGCCAUUCCGCGUGCAGGAUGAAGGCCUUCGGGUUGUAAACUGCUUUUGUACGGUAACGAAAAGGCGUCUGGUUAAUAACCCGGGGCUCAUGACGGUACCGUAAGAAUAAGCACCGGCUAACUACGUGCCAGCAGCCGCGUAAAAGUA
rnacentral:rRNA from 1 species